AUUGAACGCUGGCGGCAGGCCUAACACAUGCAAGUCGAGCGAGCGGCGGACGGGUGAGUAAUGUAUGGGGACUGCCCGAUAGAGGGGGAUAACUACUGGAAACGGUGGCUAAUACCGCAUACUAUCGGAUAACCCAUAUGGGAUUAGCUAGUAGGGGGGGUAAAGGCUCACCUAGGCGACGAUCUCUCGCUGGUCUGAGAGGCUGACCAGCCACACUGGAACUGAGACACGGCCCAGACUCCUACGGAGGCAGCAGUGGGGAAGAUUGCACAAUGGGCGCAAGCCUGAUGCAGCCAUGCCGCGUGUAUGAAGAAGGCCUUCGGGUUGUAAAGUACUUUCAGUCGGGAGGCGUUACCGACAGAAGAAGCACCGGCUAACUCCGUGCCAGCAGCCGCGGUAAUAC
rnacentral:rRNA from 1 species